GAAAUGCGAUAAGUAAUGUGAAUUGCAGAAUUCAGUGAAUCAUCGAAUCUUUGAACGCACAUUGCGCCCCCUGGUAUUCCGGGGGGCAUGCCUGUCCGAGCGUCAUUACUGCCCUCAAGCGCGGCUUGUGUGUUGGGCCUCGUCCCCGGGGGGGACGUGCCCGAAAGGCAGUGGCGGCGCCGUGUCCGGUCCUCGAGCGUAUGGGGCUUUGUCACCCGCUCUGGAGGCCCGGCCGGCAGCCGCCGACCCAACCCCAAAUCUUUUACCGGUUGACCUCGGAUCAGGCAGGGAUACCCGCUGAACUUAA
rnacentral:misc_RNA from 1 species